AAAAUUCAUAGUUUUCAAAGAUGCAUAUAUAUAUUAUCAAAAAGAAAAAAAAAUGUGGAAAGAGAUAAUAAAAUAAGCAUCACUUUAAGAUACACCUGAUCAAUUAUGUAUUUUUCACGUUUUAUUAAAAAAUUACGAAUUUAUUAAAAAUAUUUUAUUAAAAAUAUUUUAUUAAAAAUAUAUAGUUCAUGUUGGAAACAUCUUUACUGAAAACAUUAGAUUCCAGCAAAAAUAAGCAUUUUAAAGUUCCAAUGACAAAAUUUAUAACAAAUUCAUCAUUCUUCCCCAAACAUUGCAUUAAAAAUAACUUAUUUUUUUCACUCAGAAAUUAGUAAUUUUUCAAUUUAUAAUGAUAUAAUUUAUUAAUUUUAACAUUAAUUUCAGAAACAUUUUAUAUAUUAAAAAUAUUUUUCAUCAUUUUUCAUUUUACACACUUCUAUCUAUAGUUAUUUUGUUAAAAAGUUACAUAUAAAAUUUGAUAUUGUUUUCUCCGCGAGCCGCGGGGCGCACUGUAAAUUGAUAAAUGUUGAAGAGUAUAAAAUAGAUAGCGCAAAAUUUUAAAUAGUAUAUAAAAUAAUUUCAUUAUACUUAAAUAUGUUUAAUAAUUACCCGGUGGCAUCCUGGUGUAUAAGUUGUAAAAUUAAAAAAAACAUUUGUGUUUUAUACUUUUCUUUUAAUAAUAUAGAUAGAUGAGUGGAUGAGUUUAUCUAACAAGCCCAUAUUUCAACUUGUUUGGUUUAUCAAGCUAACAACAAAGAAUAUUUCCCAAGUUGGGUCUCAAGACACGAAAGACGAUUACUCGUAUCCGCAUCUUUAGCGAAAUCGAGACCUCCGGUCAAUUCAAGCUGCGAUAAACUUCGCAGGAAGACGGAGAAUCAAGUCAAGAUUCGUAAUAUAUGUGAAGAAAGGUGUUUACAGAGAGAACAUUGAAGUUGGCAACGAUAACCACAACAUCAUGCUCGUUGGCGACGGUGAACGAAAAACAAUCAUCACCAGUGCUAGAAGUGUCAAGGGUGGCUAUACCACCUAUAACUCAGCAACAGCGGGUUUUGGAGGCCAAAGUUUUGUUGCAAAGGACAUGACAUUCAUCAACACGGCAGGGCCAUUACGCGGCCAAGCUGUCUCUGUUCGGUCAUCCUCUGACCUCUCUGUUUUCUAACAUGUCGGUAUCCAUGGAUUCCAAGACACUCUCUUCAUUCACUCUCAACGUCAAUUCUUUAGAGAAUGUUACAUCUCAGGCACCAUAGACUUCAUCUUCGGAAAUGCAGCUGUCGUGUUUCAGAACUGCAUGAUUCUUGUCCGAAGACCUCUGCAUGGCCAAGCCAACGUUAUAACCGCUCAGGGUCGUGGUGACCCUUUUCAGAACACAGGUAUAACCAUCCAUAGCUCAAGGAUAGUCGCUGCUUCUGAUUUGAGGCCUGUGAUUCGAGCUUACAAAACCUAUUUAGGCCGACCGUGGCAAGCGUAUUCGCGUGUUACAAUCAUGAAGACCUAUAUAGAUAACUCAAUAAGUCCCUUGGGAUGGUCUCCUUGGUUAAGAGGAUCCAACUUUGAUCCAAUACAGUUUUCUAUGGAGAGUAUAAAAACUUCGGACCAGGUUCUUCUACAAGGUGGCGCGUCCGGUGGAAAGGCUUCCACGCCAUAACCAAUGCUGCUGUUGCUUCCCGGUUUACUGUGGGAAGCCUAAUCGCUGGUGGUUCAUGGUUGCCUUCUACUGGCGUUCCGUUCAAGACAGGGUUGUGAGGAGAGUUGCAUGUUUUAUCCUAAAGACCAGUGUGAUGUUAUGUGUGUAUGUAAAAUCCUUGUUUUACAUAUUACUGAUUUAUUUAUAUCUUUUUACAUUAUUUUAAAACCAACAAAUUAUUCUA